rnacentral:rRNA from 1 species
CGGUUCGGAAGAUAGAUGUGAAAUCCCCGAGCUUAACUUGGGAACUGCAUUUUUAACUGCCGAGCUAGAGUGUGGCAGAGGGAGGUGGAAUUCCCCGUGUAGCAGUGAAAUGCGUAGAUAUGCGAAGGAACACCGAUGGCGAAGGCAACCUCCUGGAAUAACACUGACGCUCAUGCGCGAAAGCGUGGGGAGCAAACAGGAUUAGAUACCCUGGUAGUCCACGCCCUAAACGAUGUCAACUAGCUGUUGGGGCCUUCGGGACUUAAUAGCCCAACUUACGCGUGAAGUUGACCGCCCGGGGAAUACCGGCCCCAGAGUAAAACUCCAAGGAAUUGACCGGGACCCCCACAAACCGUGGAAGAUGUGGAUUAAUUCCAUGCCACCCCAAAAACCUUACCUACGCUUGACAUGUCUGGAAUUCUGAAAAAAUUCGAAAGUGCUCUCCAGAGAACCGGAACACAGGUGCUGCAGGGCUGUCGUCACCUCGUGUCGGGAAAUGUUGGGUUAAUUCCCGCAACGAGCGCAACCCUUGUCAUUAUUUGCUACAAAAGGGCACUCUAAUGAUACUGCCAGUGACAAUCCAGAAGAAGGUGGGGAUGACGUCGACUCCUCAUGGCCCUUAUGGGUAGGGCUUCACACUUCAUACAAUGGUCAGGACAGAGGGUCGCCGACCCGCGAGGGGGAGCCAAUCCCAAAAACCCGAUCGUAAUCCGGAUCGCAGUCUGCAACUCGACUGCGUGAAGUCUGAAUCGCUAAUAAUCGCGGAUCACCAUGUCACGGUGAAUACGUUACCGGUUCUUGUACAUGUGCCCGUCACACCUUGG